GAUGAACGCUGGCGGCGUGCCUAAUACAUGCAAGUCGAGCGAACAGACGAGGAUCUUGCUCCUCUGUCGUUUGCGGCAGACGGGGGAGUAACGCGUGUAUAACGUACCUAUAAGUCUGGUAUCUCUUCGGGACACGGGAGCUUAUAGCAUAUGAUAUCUUGAACCGCGUUGUGGGAUAGUGAAAGACGGUGUUGCUGUCACGUAUAGCGGGCUCCGCGCCGCAUUAGCGGGUUGUGAAGUUAACGGCUUACCAAGGCAACGAUGCGUAGCCGACGUGAGAGGGUGAUCGGCCCCAGUGGAACUGAGACACGGUCCAGGCUCCUACGGGCGGCCGCAGUAGGGAAUCUUCCGAAAUGGGCGAAAGCUUGACGGAGCAACGCAGCGUGAGUGAUGAAGGUCUUCGGAUCGUAAAACUCUGUUAUUAGGGAAGAACAAAUGUGUAAGUAACUAUGCACGUAUUGAGGGAACCUAAUAAGAAAGCCCAGGAUAACUACGU
rnacentral:rRNA from 1 species